rnacentral:lncRNA from 1 species
AUGGAUAAACGACCGGUCAGGGACAUUUGGAGGAAACGGACAGUCAACAACCAGUCUGGAUGGAGUCAGUUUCUCAGAAGGGGAACUGUUGUUGCAGGCCCUCAAUGGCUUUGUGCUGGUGACCACCGCCGAAGGUUACGUGUUUUAUGCAUCUCCAACUAUACAGGACUACUUGGGCUUCCAUCAGGUGAGUUUGCUUUAAAAAUUUUAUUUUAGGAAGUCUUGCUUUUUUUUACAUUAGUCGUCUUGUCAUAUGUCAAAUUGUAUGUACUUUGUAUAGUUUACCAAGAAAACCGAUAUUCAUAUACCAGCCUCAAAUAAUGCUUGUCAUUUAAUUGAAAAUUGAUAAAUCUAUCUAUCAAAUCUAUUGACGAGUCAUUCACCUGGAAGCAUUUGUAUCAUUCUUCAGUCAUUUGUUGGUUCGACUUUCCUCACUCUGGAGGAAGACAAAUGGCCUUUGCCGGAGUUUAAAAUGCCGUGCCGUUUAUACGGUUAUGAAUUUCUGUUAUCGCAAGGAUAAAACUCUGGGCCUCAAUAACAGUAGGCUGUGGAAAAAGUGCUGAGGGUGUCCGGGUUUGACUACUUAUUCGGAAAGGUGUUCGUUUACUGGUAAACCACCGUGGCGUCGGUGAGGAUUAUUUUUUUUCUUCGUAUUAACAAACUAGUCUAUGUUGUUUGAAACAUCACUCUUCUUCCUUGUCCUGUUUGGAAGGCUUUUUGAAAUUUAUGUAAGCUAAUAUUUGCAAAUGGCUAGCGAUUAAGGUUUUUUUUUUUUUUUUUUUUUCACCUUGUCAGCCUGUGAUGUGCAUAUCAGACAUAGUUUGGUUUUGUUUAUAAAAGAGGAGAAGCUCAGAAAAAGAACAUCAAAGAGAGGCAAAUUGAAUGUUUGGAUACUUCAUUAAAGAACUUGCAAAACCUGUUUGUGUGUGUGAACCACAGCCAGUUCAAGAAGAUCUUGUGUGUGUGUUCCUGUGGUGUAUUGUAUGUAUAGACUGCAUGUAUAGAUCACAUUAACAAUAGCCAUUUCAUUCCUAUAGCUUGUAAUAAUAGCAAGUAGGCUAUACAUUACACAAUGUCUACUCAAAUAUACAUUCUCGCUCUAAGCACACACAAAUAUUACAAUACAGACAGUAUGAAUGUACUAAAAGAAUAUAUAUACACCUAUAUGAUAUGUGAAUAAGAACUGUGGUGUCUUUGUGUGUUUGUUAGAUGUGCAUAUAGUCUGUGCUUGUUAUUGCGUACCUGUUUUUCCUCACUAAAUCAAUUUCCCUGGAGUGUGACGUUCCCUCUCUAGCAAGUCCAGGUCGCCAGGGUUACACAAUCAGGCAGGCCUGUGCCACCUGCACACAAACGCAAUAAUUUAUACCCUCUGCUACAGCGAUCUGACACCUGUUGUGAUUUGGGUUGCUAAUAACUAUUCACGUAUUUCUAAUUAGUUUUUCUAUUUGUAGUCCAUGUCAUUAG